AAAAAGACAAACCAUAAGUCCUCGUGUCCAACUUUGACUGUUAGUCUUAUAUAAAAUUUUUUUAUAAUUCGUAUUUUUAUUGUUGUUAGAUGAUAAAAGACUUGUCUUUUUAAUUUUUUUUCAUAUUUUUUUUAAAUAAAACGGAUGGUUAAACGUUGGACACGAAAAUCAGGGUU
rnacentral:pre_miRNA from 1 species